AGCGAGCGAGGGCGUCGGCCAUUUUGUGGCUGUUUCCUGUGGGACACGGAGGUGGCGGUUGGGUCGGAAGAGUGAGAGACUCUUUGGCUAGUUUUUCCUGCUUGUUUUCUCCUCCUUUUUUUUCUGUCGGUAGAGCGCAGUUAUGGGUCGCAAGAAGAAGAAGCAGCUGAAGCCGUGGUGCUGGUAUUGUAAUAGAGAUUUUGAUGAUGAGAAGAUCCUUAUACAGCACCAAAAAGCAAAGCAUUUUAAAUGUCAUAUAUGUCAUAAGAAAUUGUAUACAGGACCUGGCUUAGCUAUUCAUUGCAUGCAGGUGCAUAAAGAGACAAUAGAUGCAGUACCAAAUGCAAUACCUGGGAGAACAGACAUAGAGUUGGAAAUAUAUGGUAUGGAAGGUAUUCCAGAAAAAGACAUGGAUGAAAGAAGACGACUUCUUGAACAGAAAACACAAGCAGAGAGUCAAAAAAAGAAGCAACAAGAGGAUUCUGAUGAAUAUGAUGAUGAUGACUCUGCAGCUUCAACUUCAUUUCAACCACAGCCUGUUCAACCUCAACAAGGCUAUAUCCCGCCAAUGGCACAACCAGGACUACCACCAGUUCCAGGAGCACCAGGAAUGCCUCCAGGCAUACCUCCAUUAAUGCCAGGUGUUCCUCCUCUGAUGCCAGGAAUGCCACCAGUUAUGCCAGGAAUGCCACCUGGAUUGCAUCAUCAGAGAAAAUACACCCAGUCAUUUUGCGGUGAAAACAUAAUGAUGCCAAUGGGUGGAAUGAUGCCACCUGGACCGGGAAUACCACCUCUGAUGCCUGGUAUGCCACCAGGUAUGCCCCCUCCUGUUCCACGUCCUGGAAUUCCUCCGAUGACUCAAGCACAGGCUGUUUCAGCGCCAGGUAUUCUUAACAGACCACCUGCACCAACAGCAACAGUUCCAGCUCCACAGCCUCCAGUUACUAAGCCUCUUUUCCCCAGUGCAGGACAGAUGGGGACACCUGUAACAAGCUCAAGUACAGCUUCAUCCAAUUCAGAAAGUCUGUCUGCGUCUUCUAAAGCUCUGUUUCCUAGCGCAGCACAAGCUCAGGCAGCUGUCCAAGGACCUGUUGGUACAGAUUUCAAGCCCUUAAAUAGUACCCCUGCAACAACUACAGAACCCCCAAAGCCUACAUUCCCUGCAUAUACACAGUCUACAGCUUCAACCACUAGUACAACAAAUAGCACUGCAGCUAAACCAGCAGCUUCAAUAACAAGUAAGCCUGCUACACUUACGACGACCAGUGCAACCAGUAAGUUGAUCCAUCCAGAUGAGGAUAUAUCGCUGGAAGAGAGAAGAGCACAAUUACCUAAAUAUCAACGUAAUCUUCCUCGACCAGGACAGGCUCCCAUUGGUAAUCCACCUGUUGGACCAAUUGGAGGUAUGAUGCCACCACAGCCAGGCAUCCCACAGCAACAAGGAAUGAGACCCCCGAUGCCGCCUCAUGGUCAGUAUGGUGGUCAUCAUCAAGGCAUGCCAGGUUAUCUUCCUGGUGCUAUGCCACCGUAUGGGCAGGGACCGCCAAUGGUGCCCCCUUACCAAGGUGGGCCUCCUCGACCUCCGAUGGGAAUGAGACCUCCUGUAAUGUCGCAAGGUGGCCGUUACUGAUCUUACUUCAUCCAGUCUAAUAGGUUUUUAGAAGUGAAGUAUAGUAAAUUUGGUUCGUUAUAUUGUGAAGGCGCUGGAAUUACAUGAACAUACCACCCUAAUAAAGCCCUGCCAUAGGACAGGCUGAGGCUGAGUCUCAGUGUUGCCCUGUUCAGUCUGAGGCAAGUGGGAUUUAUUUUAUUCCUUAUAGGGGCUUUCACAGCUUUAUGGCUGUUGGAUAUUCAUGUCCCCAAACUUGCAGCAAGUUUGGUGAAGGCCCCUAAAUUUAAUUAAAUUUAGGCUUUUUAUACUCUCUUGGCAGAGAAGGCUCUAUAUUAAUAUUCACGUUUGACUGUGGUGUUAAUAAACAGAAAAAAGUAUUUGAUAUAUGUAAUUUUAUCUAAUUUACUUUGUGUUACAUAAUAUUUAACAGCCUCAGUAAAGGUGAUGUUAUUUAUAUUGAACUUGAGUAAAUUGACAAAAUUUGACGUUCUUGAUUUGGAGGCAUGAAAUGUUUCAUUCAAAUUUUCCCUUUCACUUUUAGGAAAACCUUACUGGUUAUUUUCUCCUCAAACUAUUAAAUUUAACCUCAAGGAUAAUAAUCAUUGGAAAUGCCACUGGAUACUGAAAUCUGCAUUUUUAAUCCCAAAGUUAUGCAUUGAACGUUAAGGUUGAAAGGUCAUCUGGAAAUGCUUGUGACUUUUAAUAUUUCCAAAUUUCACCACAUUAGAGCAAAUGUUAAUGUAGAGCCCUGUGAAAAGUGGGAAGAUGGUGUGUAUGUGUGGUAUGUAUGCGUAUACACUACACAUUUGAUAUUAUAAAAGAGUUUGGGUAUUACACACUUACCAGUAUGGAUGGAUUACAAAUUUUCAGGCAGCCAAACUGAAAUUGUUUCACAUAGUAAAGUUUAGUAUAUUGAAUUGUGGUUUUGGAACGAUUAUUUUGAGUUUCAUUUUUAUCCUUACUGAACAAUAUUUGAUGCAAUAUGCACACAUGAAAAACACCCGUGUUUGUUUCCAACUAAAAAUUGCUUUUAUUUGGUGGAAAAAGUUGUGUUUAUGUGUGUAUGUUGUAGUGGGCAAGUAACGGGGGAACUGAAAGAGAGGCCAAAACAUUAACUUGGAUUACUUUUGUUCCUUCCCGUGUUAAAGCCACUGUUCUAUGCAGAUAGCAUUUUCCUCUGAACAGUAACAGUUCACUUAUAGUACAAUGUUUAGCAAACCCAGGCUUGUGUUUCUAUGUGGUUUUAAUUCUUGGAAACAUAAAGAAGAAAAAUGAAUUAAAUGAAUUCCAAAUUUUCACCUCUGUUAUUAGAAUAUAAGCUUUUCUCUGUAACUGAAUCAUGGAAAAAAGAUAUUAAUGUUUGAAAAAAAAAUUGUGUCACAACAAAAAAAUUCCACUGGAAUAUUUUACUACCUGCUCAAUUACUGCAUCUUUUAAGACUCCUCAGUUGGAGUUGUUUUCUGUUGCAUCCAUCAUUCCCCAAUAUACUGAAAUAUUCAAGAGUGAAGUUGCUUGUCCUAAUUCUAAUAGUGAUCAUUGAAAUAAUUAUAAUUGAAAUACCCUCUUAAAUGCUUGAGUACUGGCGUGGGAGGGAUUUUCUAAGGGAGACAUAAUUUGUUGAAGGUGAUACAGAUAUCUAAGAUGUAGGUUCUUCGAUCUUUGUAGUCCUCUGACUCAGACAAAUACAGUUUUGAGAAUAACUUUCAGGUAUCUAUUAUAUCCACAGGUAAAACUUAGUAAAUUACUGAAAGGAAAUGUUGAAGUCACUUCUUUACUGAGAUGAAAUUUUGUUUAAGUAAACUGACACUUGUAUCGGUUAGGGGAUUUUUUAAAAAGUAGUAAACAUGUUCCCUAAAAUUUUGUGUAAAUCAAGUAUGUCUUUUUUUAAAGGCGGUAUUUAUCUACCUUAUUGAAUAACCUUUGUAUGUUAUUCCAAAAUGAAACUGGUUUUCUUACUCUUUUAUGGAAGUCUUCUAGAAGAGAUUCAUUAUAAGACUAUUGACUAUAAGGCAGAGUUUUGUAAGUAAACAUUCUCCCAUUUAUGCUUCUGCUAUCAUGAUUUGAAUAUUAGUAUAGGUUAUUCCUUUUUAGCCUUCUUUCUCAGUAUUUUGUUUUCUGUCAUCCGAAUCAUUUUAAUAAAUGAUCUUUUGUUUUAAUAGCAUAGCAAUCAUCUGAUAUUUCUUGGCAAAAUAAGCAGCUACUUUAAUGAUGUUAUAUAUAGUGUCAUGCACAUAGUGGAUAUUCACAAUUUUGUAAUUAAUGUUGUAUUUUCAGAACUAUACUUUCAAUAUCUUGGCUCUUAGGCAUCCCCUGUUAUGAAUCUAAUUCAAACUAAUACAUAGCAAAUGGGGAAAGCGGGACCUCAGUUUGAGCUCCCUAAUUAAACAUCUCCAACAUUUCCAAGUGUUUUCAUGUUCUUACUUGGCAUUUUUGUAGGAAAAUAAGUUUGAAAGUAUCAUGUUUUAAAAAACUAGAUUUCUUCAGUAAGGCUCAGAGGAGAAUUGUUUUUUAUAAGCAUUGUUUUUCUUGCUGUGGACUUCAUACAUUUUUGCAUAAUAAUUUGGCCAUAAAAGAAAGAGCCUUUCAUUUUCUUCCCAACUCUGGAAAAACAAUAGCUUGAAACUGUAUUAGUUUGAAAUUUUUGAACCAUUUCUCUUUAAAUCUGUUCAACUAAUCUCAUGUAUGUUCUCAGGGGAAAUUACAUUUUACGAGUCAGGAUAUAGAAAUCAUAUUAAGGCAGAAAUUGGAGACCCAAAGGAGAUCUUCACUGAAGCUAAUUUGAACUAUUUCUAUUUGAAGCAAAUUGAACACUGUAUUAUAAAUGAAGACUGGUUCAUGGUUAGGUUCUUUAGGAGGCAAAUAAUCACCAGCUUUAUCAUGAGAAUAUGUUUGUGUAUAUGUUGUAAUUUUGGGCACAUUAACUACAGAGAAGAUACAUGUGAGUAAACUGUUUUAACAGUUGAUUAGUUGGACCCCAGCCAUUAAUUCCAAAUGCUGUAAUGGUAUGUAAGGUUGUGAUAUGGCACAGUUUCAGUAAUGUGCUGUGUGUUUGGUCAGGGGUUUGUGUAAUGCUUUGUUUGUAAAAAAGGGGAAGUCCUUUAUUGGAAUUCUCCGGGCCUUUUGGCAUUCUUACUGUGUCUGGGUUUUUUUUUUUAUCAUUAUUAUAGUUAAGAAUCAUAUGCCUUCGUUUUUGUUUAAAUGUGAGGAACUGGCAGUGAAAUUCAUUGAUGCCCAACUUGGAUAAAAAUGAAGAAUGUUGUUUGCCCAGCUUACUACACACAGACCAGUAGUGAUUAUUUGGGUGAGAGGCCAUUGUACAGUAUCGUUAGACUUUUAAGAACCUUAAAUGUAAUGGAAGGUAAUAGUAUUUUGGCCUUGGUUUACAUUUGUUAUGCAAGAUUUCAUCAAAUCAUUUAUUAUAAUGUAGCUCAUUCUUAAUAUUUUUAUUUAUAAAUAAUUUGGCAAUCAGGUGAAAAUAAACAAGGUUUACCACGUCAUUUUCCAGUUUCUACUAAUAAAACAAGUCUGCUUAACUACCCAAGUGGACCAAGGGAAGCGUUAUUAAAGUUUCUGUAAGUUUGAGUUAGAAAAAUAUGGGAGAUUUAGUUACUGAGCAUAGCCUGCCUUUUAGCUAUUAGCUUGUUAGUGUACUUAUAGGAGAAGCAAUAGAAUGUGCUUUUCAGCCCAUGUGUUUAAAAUGGAAAAUCUUUAAUAUACAGAAAUGAAGUCAAGUAUUUUAGAAGUUGAAUUUAAAAUAUUAAAAAUUGCUUGUUUCUGUGGGAUGUGUCUACAUGUACUUAAAUUAGAAAUUAUCAUGCAGAGAUUUUUAUUCCUAGAUAUAUGUACCCCCCUCUCCUUUUAGAGUAACCCAUAUCUUUAUAGUACACAUACUGGAAUAUAUAAUUUAUUAAAAUUGAGAGGUGUCCAAGAGAUAUACAGUAUUAUUAACUCAUUCUCAUAAGGUCACUCUAAAUUUAAUAGCCAAUAUAAGGUACUUUUUGUAAGACAGGGAAAUUUUUUUUAAUGUAGUAAUGUCAGGCUCUGAGGAAAUUUUAUGCACAUUGACUUUUUAAACUAUGAAUUGAACUCCUCAGUUUAAUACAAUUUGUGUUUUUGUUAACUAGCAGCAGAAUUUCAGCAUUUGCUACUUACUGGUAGAGAAGAAAAAUCCCACAGCCCUGCCAGUACAGGUUAGUUUAAUCUGUAAGUACCUGAUGUUCCUAUUUUUUUCAAACAUAUCCAUAUAACCCACACCAGGAAGAAAGCUGUGCAGUUACUUAAAUGUGAGUAUGACAUUGGACACUUCUAAACACUCAGUACUUGGGCCAAAGUAGCUCUAGGUUUGCUCACCUGAGUUGUAAUAAAGGUGUGAUACUGCUCCUUUAUUAUCGGGUUACGGUUAAACCUAAAUAGAUAUGUUGUACAUAGAAAGAAGAGUGAAAGUUUUAAUUGGCUAUAUGCUCAUGUUGGUAUAUGGAGUACAGGUGUUUGGGUCCAGGGUCUCCUACUUAAGCCGCUCCUUGGUACUCAUACUUACCUUUUAACUUUUUACAGUAUGAAUCAACAGAUAAAAAGUCAAGUUUCCUCACCUCUAGUAGUGAUAAAUGGUGUGCAGUCGUAUGCCAGAAUAUAUUUUUAUGCUGCUUUUUUGUUGUUAGAUAUUUUUAGUAACUCUUGUUGUAAGUACUAAUUUUGUUCAUGCUUUUUGUAAACUAUAACCUGUUGGUGCACCACCACUGUGGGUUCAUUUUAAUUUGAACUAAGAAGAACCUUUUUAAUAUUCAGAUGAAAGCUGACUACCCAUCAAGAAAUCUAGACACAUUCUUUGCAUAUUCCUUUUGAGGAGCAGUGAGGACAUAACAGGUUGUGAAAGUUAUGUUAAAGUUUUUAUUAGUUUCAUUGGUUCUACCAGCGUUCAUUGUUGUCUUGAACCAUCCUUCAGAGAUUUCCUUUAACCUUUAAAUAUUGUGCUCUUAUGUUGAUAAAAAUUUUAAAUACUGAGGAGAGAAGAAGAAAGUAUACAAUUUAGUUUAUACAAGCCUACCUGAACCAUUCUGCUAUUCUGUAUGGCUUCCUCUUCACCUUAAGUGUAAUAUUGUAUAAUGUGAGUCUGUCCGUACAACUACUGAUUUUUUACUCCUGUUAAAGUGGGAUGGUGAUAAAGACCUUGAUUUAUCAACCGAUAAUAAAAUAUAUUUUAUAAGAUAUCCACUUGUUUUUUAACAUAAAAUUGCCUAAGGGCUUAAGUUUCAUUGCCUUUCACAGUUUAAUCUGUAUAAGAAAUGGCGUAGAUACAGUGGAAUGGUUUUCCUUAAAACCAUCUCUUUAAAGCUGCUUUUCUGGUGAGUACUAUUUUAUACUUUUAUAUAUCACUAUUUUUCCAUUUAAAUUUAACUUAAGUUGGACACUUUGAUCAAAGUAUAUGAGUUUCUACACUCUUAUUACCUGAAUUGAGAAUGUUAAGGUGAUUAUUUUACCUCCCUAUGUUUCUCUAAUAAUUGGGGCUCACUUUUUUCCUGACCUUCACUUAAUAGACUAUAUAACUGCAAAAACUUUAACAUGUAAAUUAUUUCUUUUUGGUGAGAUAGGAAAGAUGUUUUUACUCAAAACUAGUGCUAAAACAAUUUUUAUUUUAACUUAAAAAUUUUUUUAGUUGACAGGCAAAAGUGGUUUUUUUCCUCAAUGCUUUUGGUUGCCAUGUUGCAUAGGUUUAAAAUUUAAAGACCAGAAUUUUUGUCUAGUGAUUCUUGAGUAGUUAAGCUGGGAAUAGAGUUGAAGGAAAGCUUGCCCAAAAUGGUCAUGCAGACUAAUUGCUUACAGGAGUCUCUGAGUGAGGCUUGAGAAUUUCAAAUGUAUUCUUAAAUCAUUCUAACCUUGCAUGAAAAACUUGGGUUGGACUACUGAUUUCUGGGAUUGUGUAUACCCGUGAAAAUUAGCCUGAGCAUAUUUCUAAUUACUUGAUCCCCUGUUAAAUCCCUCCGUCAUUGUAACACGUGGAUUUUUUCUCUCUAGCUUUUAGCCACAUCCUACCUAACAUCAGUUUAUCUUAAGGAUGUUUUCACAUUGUAUUUCCUGCUGUGAUCUUUGUAAGCCAAUAAUAAAAAGUCAGCUCAUGCUUUUUAGUAUGAACAGUGAUAGUCUUCUAAAAUAAAUCUGAAAAUUUGAAUAUGUGAUAAUGGUAAUGUAUUCUUCUAGAUAAGCACUACACAAAGUGUGGACCCUCAAUUUAUGUCUUUAAGAUUUAAAGUGAAGUAAAUUUCUAAGGAACUCUGUCCUUUCCUAGCAAGGAUAAGCAGACACUGAAAAUUUGUACGCGGGCCUCUCACUGUUGUGGCCUCUCCCGUUGCGGAGCAUAGGCUCCAGAUGCGCAGGCUCAGCGGCCAUGGCUCACGGGCCCAGCCGCUCCGCGGCAUGUUGGAUCUUCCCGGACCGGGGCACGAACCCGUGUCCCCUGCAUCGGCAGGCGGACUCUCAACCACUGCGCCACCAGGGAAGCCCCACUUUUUUAACUAACUUAAUUCUCUCUGCUUUUAUUUCUUUCAUAUCUCAAAAGUAAAUAACUUUAUUUUUUUGUUCUGAUUACAAAAUUGACUUAUGGAUAUACAUUUUUCAACAAAUAUUAUGUGCCAAAGUAUGCUUCAAGGUCCUAAGGGGAGAUACAGCAUUGAAACAGAAGGGACAAGCCCCUCCCUUCAUGGAGCUCCCAUUUCUAGUGUGGAAGAUUAACAGUAUUCAAAGAAAAAAUAAGAUAAUUUUUAAUUUAAGAUACUGAUAAAGUGCCAUGAACACAAUAAGACAGUAAAAUACUAGUGAUUUGUGGGGAUGGGACUGCUCUAGAUUGGAUGAUCAAGGAGUGCCUUUCUGAGGAAAUAAAUCAUAUGUGAGCUGUAUCUAAGUAAUGAGAGAGGGACAGCCCUGCAGAGACAGACUUAGCCACGUGAAGAUAGGUUAAGAGUAUAGGUUAAGAGUAUUUCAGGUGGCGGGAGCAACAAGUCCUAAGGCCGUGAGGUGGGGAACUCUGGUGAAAUUUAAAGAAUAAGAGAGCGGAAUUUACCCUCGAUGUAGCCAUCUGGAGAUAACAUGUUAAUAUAUUUUGUUGCAUAUUCCUCCACACAUUUCUCUAUGUAUUUUUGGUAUAUCUUCCCAUCUUCUGGUAAAUCAAAUGAUAGACUCUCUUUUUUUAAAUUGAAGUAAAGUUGAUUUACAAUAUUGUGUUAAUUUCAGGAGUACAGCGUAGUGAUUCAGUUAUUUUUUUCUGUGAUUAUAUUCCAUUAUAGAUUAGUACAACAUACCUAAUAUAAUUCCCUGUGCUGUACAGUAAAUCCUUGUCGCUUUCUGUUUUUUACUUUUUUGUGUCUUUCAAUAAUAUUCAUAUAUAUUUCUUGAUUCAUCAAGAAUAAAAUUUAUUUGUUCACUGUAUUAAAUGUGAGGAAAUGAUCAUACUUAAUAUUUCUUCUCAUUCUCCUACUUAUUUAGCUUUAAAGGUUCAAAUAUUAACUGUUAGUCCUUUCAUGUCACAAAUUCCAAAUCAAAAGCGUGUUCUCUUUUUUCAUUAGUUGGUUGGCUGGAUGAUAUCUUCAGAUACAUUUUUGAGAAGAAGUGUACAUAGCUGGUGUAUUUCUUGACUCUUUGCAUAUUUGAGAACAUUUUUCUGUUGCCUUCAAAUGUGAUCAACAGUCUGGAUAAAGAAUUCCCAUCAAUAUUCUAAUAACCUGAAGCCUAGAGAGGUAAGUGGCUUACUUCGUGUGCACAGUUAAGGAGGAGUAAAGCUUGAACCUGAUCUUCCGAUUCCUGGUGCAACACGCCUUCCACCACCCAUACGUUUUACACCUUGUCCUUCAUAUCCUUUCUCUGUACAACCAGAUCCUAUCCAUCUGACAAAAAUUUGUGUAAAUAUCACUUGCUUCACAAAGCCAUUCCUUGUUUACCCACUUGGAAGAAAUUUGUCUUCUUGAAUGUCCUUAAUUAUCUACAGUUCUUUUUUCCUUUUUCACUUUUGACCUUAUAUGAUAAUUAUGCUCUUUAUGUCUUAUCUCCCUUACCAGAGGCAAUAUGCAUAAUGGAUAGGAUUUGGGGCUCUGGAACAGAUUGGAGUUCUAAUUACAGCACCAGAUCCUAGCUCUGGGAACUUGGGCAAGUUACUCAACCUCUAAGCCUGAGUUUUCUCACAUUUAAAAUGGAAUUAAGUGAAAUACUAAUAUAAAACACCUAGUACAAUAUCUGGUACACAGCACAUAAUUUAUUUUAAUUUUUGUGUUAAUAAUAUGCUUUUAUUAACAAUGUAACUCAUGGUAAGCUCCUUGAGAACCAGAUCUAGUGCUUAAUACAGGGUUUGGGUCCAUAGUAUGGAUUCCAUAAAUAUUUGAUGAAUAAACAGUAACAUUAAUAUUUAAGGUAUGUCACCUCCCUAAAUACUUAAAAGAAGCCCUGGGUAAAUGUUUAAUAUGACACUGCUAUUACCCUUCCAGGCAAUAAUUCAAACUCACCUUACCAGUAGCCAUUCUGACUAGCUAGUACCUUGUCCAUAGUGCUUAACCACUCAGAACUCAGCACCUUCGAUUAUGUCUGUUUUAAUUGGGCAUUUCUGGUCUAGAUACAACCUUUGUGAGGCCAACUCAUGAAAAUUUUAUUUUCCGGCACUGGUGGGAAGAAACCUUUAUUUAAAAGUUGAGCUUAUUACAUAUGGAUUUGUUUUUGUAAUUUAGUGAUCAAUCUCUUAGUUUUACUUGACCAAGAAAUUUGGAUCUGAAGUAGAUUUUUUUUUGCAGUUUUUAGAAAAAGUUAAUAGUACUGUUGAGUCUGGGGUACAUUGUUUUAAAGUUUUACUAUUGACAGCUAGGAGAAAAGGGAAUGAACUUGUCUUUAAUAAUACCUUGAAUUUAUAUUCAUAUCUCUUUCUGUAUGCAAAUUGCUUCUUUCUUGAGUUAGGCAGGUUCCUAUAGUUUGCUGUUUGUGAAUUAAUGUCCACUUAUAAUACUAAAAAGUAGAACUAGAGCACAGCAUUAAAAUAUCUAAAGUUUAAUUUCAUGGAUCUUCAUCCAUGUUGGUGAUAGGUCUCAUGCUCUGAAUGUAUGGACUUAACACGUAUGGCUCCUUGUCUAACCUGGGUCUUUUAUCUCCACUGCUGGAGCCACUCAGUCUCAACCACAAACCCAGCUAAACCUCAGGCUUGGGACUGACUUCCUCCCUGCCCUCAUUUGUUGAACUCAUUCUGACUUUAGUGUGUUUUAGUAUCAGAGCAUUGUCUUAUUUCCACCUUCUCUGCCGUAUUGCAGUUUUCAGAACUUGACCCUCUUUCUUGACCUACCUGACACCUAGUUCACUGGGGACUGCUUUGCUCUCACCACUGCUGUGAGCCCCAGCCCAUGAUGCUUCCCGAUCUGCUGCCCAUCUUCUUGUGUGUUUCUUAAUGAGUUGCUAAACUGCCCCAGUUUCCAUGUAUAACAAAGGACAGAGCAGACCAGAGACACAUAGAUGAAGCAAACUAAAUUGAUAUUUGUGCACCUCCUGCCCCACAAAGGACUGGCUCCACUGCGCUACUGCAGGGGAAUAGCUUCUAUUUCAUCUCUGAUGAGACAUUUCUACCAAGUAUUGUAUCACUCUUUUCUAACAAGUUCAUUAGAUAUGAUUAAGUAUUUGUUUCACUUCUUCCUUUAUGGUUCCAGUGAAUCCAUAGACCAUUUUAGGAUGUGGGCAAACAACUGGUUGAAAUGUGAAGCUUUUUCCAGUUCCCGUGAUAAGCAUUUGGCUCUUUCUCCUCUUUGCAUCCAUAACUCCACUUUUUAUUUGCCUCUGUUACAGUAAAGAGAGUAAAUGUUAAAAUAGUUAAAGCUUUUUUUUGGCUUACAAAGUACAUUAUCAUUUUUUAAAAUGUAUAAGUAAGUUAUUACCUCUGAUUGAGAUAUUAAAGUGAGUUCAUGCUUCUACACAAUUCCCCUGCCUCACACACUUAACAAUAACAGGUAAAAUGGUUAAGAUAAAAGCAGAUAUAUUUAUGUGACUAAAAAUAGAAGAGAAAGCCCUCAUGGUGAGUGGGAACUCGGGCUCUGGGUCUAGAACCAGGGUGGCCAAGACCAUGACCUCUGUUCGUAAAAAUCUUUUUGAGAGCUCCAUGACCGAGGCAAAAGAGCUAGGAAUAGUGAUCAAAGCCAGGGCCUGGGAUGGGUGUCAGUUUGUGAAAGCAGGCUGGGAAAACUGUUGACUUUCGGCCUGGGACUGCUGCUUUAUAAAAAACUGGGCCCAAUGAGAGUAAAUGAGAAAAACAUGGCUUUUGGGUCUUUUAAAACCAAAAACAGACAAGUAGCCUUGUCUCGGUUGACUCGGUAGCUAGAUCUGUGAUUUAAGGGUAUCAAAGUAGGCUCAAAACACUAUUUAAGACCUAGUUCUUGGACUUCCCUGGUGGCGCAGUGGUUAAGAAUCCACCUGCCAAUUCAGGGGACAUGAGUUCGAGCCCUGCUCUGGGUAGAUCUCAUAUGCUGGGGAGCAACUAAGCCCGUGCGCCACAACUACUGAGCCUGCACUCUGGAUCCCACAGGCCAGAACUACUGAAGCCUGCGUGCCUAGAGCCCGUGCUCCGCAACAAGAGAAGCCACGUCAGUGAGAAGCCCGCGCACCGCAACGAAGAGUAGCCCCCGCUCGGCUCAACUAGAGAAAUCCCGUGCACAGCAACGAAGACGCAACACAGCAAAAAAAAAAAAAAAAAAAAGACACCAUAUACAAAGGGCCACCAAUUACGAUGGCAGCUGACUUCUCAUCAGCAACAAUAGAGGCCAGGAAACAAUGUCUCAAAUACUGAGGGCGUAUAUAUUGACCUAGAACUUUAUCCACAGCUAAAAUAACAUUCAAGAAUGACUGUAAGUUAGAAACAUUUUUAGACAUGAGUUUAGUACAGAACCUCACUUAAGAAUUAUUAAAAGAGGGCUUCCCUGGUGGUGCGAUGGUUAAGAAUCCACCUGCCAGUGCAGGGGACACAGGUUUGAGCCCUGCUCCAGGAAGAUCCCACGUGCCACGGAGCAACUAAAUCCGUGCGCCACAACUACCGAGCCUGUGUGCCACAACUACUGAAGCCUGUGCACCUAGAGCCCGUGCUCUGCAGCAAGAGAAGCCACCACAAUGAGAAGCCUGCACACUGCAACGAAGAGUAGUCCCCGCUCGCUGCAACUAGAGAAAGCCCGCACGCAGCAACGAAGACUCAACACAGCCAAAAAUAAAUUUAUUUUAAAAAAUUAUUAAAGGAUACAUUUCUGCAAGGAGAAAAGUGAAUCCAGAGAAGAUGUGGGAGUAAAGAAGCAAAGGCAGGGCUUCCCUGGUGGCGCAGUGGUUGAGAGUCCGCCUGCCGAUGCAGGGAACACGGGUUCGUGCCCCGGUCCGGGAAGAUCCCACAUGCUGCGGAGCGACUGGGCCCGUGAGCCGUGGCCGCUGAACCUGUGCGUCUGGAGCCUGUGCUCCGUAACGGGAGAGGCCCGCGUACUGCAAAAAAAAAAAAAAAAGAAGCAAAGGCAGUUUCUGCAAUAGGAGAGGUGGUGGCUAAAAAAAUAGAAAAUGAUUUGACAAGUCAGUACAUUUAAAUCAGUUAUUGACUGCAAAGUAGACACUUUUUUUGUGAUAAAAAAGCUGAAAUAAACCAACAGUUCCUGAAUGUGUUGGUCUUAGUAUCCCUUUAUACUCUUAAAAAUUAUUGUAGGCCCAAAGAGCUUUUGUUACAUGGGUUAUAUCAACUGAUAUUUGCCAUAUUAGAAAUUAAAACUAAUAUUUAAAAAAUGCUAUUUCAUUUGCAAAUAAUAAACCUACUACAUGUUAACAUUUUUAUGAAAAAUAUUUCCCAAGAUAGAAAUUUAAUGAAUGGCAUUGUUUGUACAUUUUUGCCAGUGUCUUUAAUGUGUGGCUUAGAAGACAACUGGGUUCUUAUAUAUGAAUCAGGUAUUCAUGUUCAUGUAUAUAUUAUUAUAGAUGAAUCACAUUAUUCAUAAAUUCUUAUUUCUGAAUUGAAAUACCUGUAGAAAAUUCAGCCUCACACAGACAUGUAGUUGGAGAAGGGAAUAUAUUAAUAGCCUUUUUUCUUGACAGCUUAAAUUUUUUUCUUUUCCUUGAAGUGACAAGAGCACUUCAUUUUCAAGGAAAUGUCUGUCACAUACCCACGUCUGCAGAACCAUGGUUUGUCUGUCAGUCGUUCUUCAAAUAAAAAUGAUGUUCUGUGAAAAAAAAGUGGCUUGUUAAACUCAAUCACACGAGUGCUUCUCCAAGAGACAACCACUGUACUGUGUGCAGCAAAAGUGCUUUAUGCAUGUUUCCUAUAUCAUCACCCAGAUUUUAAAAAAGACAUAUUUGUGGGUCAAAAUUGAAUAAAAUCAGUAAUUUUUACUGCCUCAUCAAGGGCACUCUUAAGCGUAAUUGGCUUUUUUUUCUGUGAGUGCAUGACAAGAAUACAAUGACAGCUGGGACAGUUUGGUACCACUGCCCUGAUUCAUGUAAGGUGCCAGCUGUUUUACCCAUCAUUGCUUUCAUAUCAUCAGUGCAAAUGUCAACAGAGUGGGGGAAAAGCAACAUCUUAGUAAUAUUAUAAAAUAGCUUUAACCUUGCAGAUUCUUGAAUGGGUCUCGGGAAACACAUUCGAAGAACAGCUGCUCUAAUGAGAGAGGACCUCUUCACUAAGAACCUCUUUAUGUUCAGGAGGAAGGCAAACAUAGCUGAAGAAUAUUUAGAAUAAAGGUAAAGUUAAGUGUGCCCUCUAAAAGUAAGAAUAGGGACUUCCCUGGCAGUCCAGUGGUUAAGACUGUGCUCCUAAUGCAGGGGACGCAGGUUCGAUACUUGGUCAGGGCACUAGAUUCAACAUGCCACAACUAAGAGUUUGCAUGCCACAGCCUAAAAAGGAAAAAAGAAAACAAAAUAAGAGUAAUUACUAAAAAAAAAAAUAAUAAUUACUGAAAGAAAAAGAAGGCAUCUAUAAUUUCCAAACAAGCAGAGCUAUAAAAGGGAAUAUAGAAAUCUAUCAAUUCAAUAGAAGGCAGGAGAAAAGAAUCAGAAGGAUAACAAAUAUAUUGAAAACUAUAUAAAGUAGGGAAAUAAAUCCAGCUACAUCAGUAGUCAAAAGUGUGAAUCAACUCCUCUGUAAAAAAUUAGUUUGCCAUAUUAGAUUUUUAAAAAUUCAUUUAUAUGUUGCUUAAAAGAGACACAACUAAAAUCUAAUUUUUGAAAAGUGUUGAAAAGGAGAAAACAAUUCAGGUAAAUACUAAAAGGAAGCUUGUGCAGCAUAUUAUUAUUAGGCAAAAUGACCUUUAAGGCAAAAACCAUUAAUUAGGAUAAGAAGGGACAGUACCUAGUGGUAAAAGAAAUCUAAGAAGAUACUAAAGUAAAAAACUAUGUACCUUCCAGUGUAUUCGCCGACAACUGCAAGGAGAAAUUGACAGACUCCCUGGUCGUGGUGGAAAAUUAUGGUGCAGCUCAAUCAGAAAUUAGUAUAGCAGAUUAAAGAAAAAAAAUCAGCUUACAAAAAACAAAAGCAUUCUUGUACAUGCAUUACAGUUAGUACAUGUAAUGGGAAGAAAACACUAGUAACAACCAACUCAUUCUAUGAUGCUUUUUGCAAGAUUACAACCUUAAUAUAAGGAUGAGCAAGGGUGUUCAAGAAAGAACAUUAGAAACCAAUCUCAGGAGUAGAGAGAAAAGAAAAACAACAUUCUCACAAAUUUAGCAGUGUACUAAAAUAAUGCAUAAUGAGCAAAGAGGAUGUAUUUUAGAAAUGCAAGAAUUUAAAAAUUGUUUUAAAAUAUAAGUCAUAUAUAUCACUCUUCUGCUCAAAAUUCUUCAGUGGCAAAAUUAAAAGUUCUGCCUUGAGGGCUUUGCACCUGUGGUUCCUUCAGCCUACCAUGGACUUUCUUUGAUCUUCCCUCAAAUGUCACUCCAGUGAGCCCUUCCCUGACUAUCCUAGUUAAAUUUCAUUUUCUAGCUAGCACUCCUUACCCUCCUGCUCUGCUUUGUUUUUCUCCAAAGCACUUAUGAGUUGUGCUGUAUUUUAUUUUAUUGUUUAUUAUCUGUCUUCCCAAAUAGAAUUUAAGCUUCAUGAGGGCAGGGGUUUUUGCUGGUCAGUUCCCUGCUUUUCCCAGAGUCUAAAACGGUGCCUGGCACAUCACAGUCACUCAAUAAAUAUUUGUUGAAUGAAUGAAUGACUAGUUCAACAUCAGAAAAUCUACCAACAGGGUAAAAGAGAAAAAUCAUAUUAUAAGCUCAUAUGCAGAAGAAUUUGAUAAAAUUAUUCAUUCAUGAUAAGAACUUAGCAAACAAUAAAUAGAAAAAAAUGUCUUUAAUUUGCUAAUAAUAAAAAAUUUAGAGUUAAUGGCAUACUUGAUGGUGAAACUUUAGGAAUAGUUACAUCAAAGACAGAGCCGAAAAAAAAAAAGACAGAGCCGAGACAAGAAGUUGCUGCUCUCACCUAUUCAAUUUUGUGCAAGGACAAGAAAAAGUACUAAGGGAUAUAGAAUUGAAAAGUAAAAAAAAAGCUGUCCUAAUUGUAAAGGAAGUCUACACUAAAUGUUCAAGAGAAUCUACAAACUAUUAGAAAGUUCAGAGAGGUAACUGUUAUAUAAAGGUUAGCAUUCUUACAAGUAACAAUUAGUAUAUAUAAUAGAAAAAUGAUCCAAUUUAUAAUAGUGACUUAAAACAUAAGCUUCUCAGAAAUUAAUGUAAUGAAAGAUGCAAUGGAAAAUUUUGCAAGAUAGUAUUAGGGAGCAAAAAAGUCCUGACGUCAUGGAGAUAGAUUCAUAGAUGGAAAGAUGUAAUAUCAGAAAAAUAUCAGUUCUCUCCAAAUCUAUAAAUUAAACAGUAUGCCUAAUGAUUUUCCCUGGAACUUGACAAUAAUCUAAGAUUCAUAUGGGGGACUUCUCUGGUGGUCCUGUGGCUAAGACUCCACACUCACAAUGCAGGGGCCCCGGGUUCGGUCCCUGGUCAGGGAACUAGAUUCAACAUGCCACAACUAAGAGUUUGCAUGCCACAACUAAAGAUUCCACAUGCUGCAACUAAGACCUGAUGCAGAUAAAUAAAUAAAAUAUUUUUUAAAUUAAAAAAAAAAUUGUGUGAAAAAGUAAAAAACCUGGAACAUUAAGACAACUUUAUUUUUUUUAAUUUAUUUAUUUUCGGCUGAGUUGGGUCUUUGUUGCUCUCAGGCUUUCUCUAGUUGUGGUGAGUGGGGGCUACUCUUCGUUGCAGUGCGCAGGCUUUGUUGCGGAGCAUGGGCUCUAGGCACGCAGGCUCAGUAGUUGUGGCUCACGGGUUCUAGAGCGCAGGCUGAGUAGUUGUGGCACACGGGCUUAGUUGCUCCGUGGCAUGUGGGCUCUUCCCAGACCAGUGCUCGAACCUGUGUCCCCUGCAUUAGCAGGUGGAUCUUAACCACUGUGCCACCAGGGAAGUCCCUAUUUCUAAUUUUUUGAUGGACCACCAUACUGUUUCUACAGCAGCUGUACCAGCUUACAUUCCCAACAACAGUUCAUAUUUGUUGUUUCUGGGUUUUUUUUGAUAGUGGCCAUCCUAAUGGGUAUGAAGUGUUAUAGGAGGUUUUUUUUUUUUUGCAGUACGCGGGCCUCUCACUGUUGUGUCCUCUCCCGUGGCGGAGCCCAGGCUCCGGACGCGCAGGCUCAGCGGCCAUGGCUCAGGGGCCCAGCCGCUCCGCAGCAUGUGGGAUCUUCCCGGACCAGGGCACGAACCCGUGUCCCCUGCAUCGGCAGGUGGACUCUCAACCACUGUGCCACCAGGGAAGGCCUCAUAGUAGUUUUGAUUUGCACUUCCCCAAUGAUUAGUGAUGUUUAGUGUCUUAUCAUGUGCUUCUUGACUACUUGUAGAUCUUCUUUGGAGAAAUGUCUAUUCAAGUCCUUCGUCCAUUUUUGAAUCAGGUUGGUUUUUUGUUGUCGUUGUUGCUGUUGAGUUUUAGGAAUUCUGUAUAUAGCCUGAAUAUUAAUCCCUUCUCAGAUAUAUCAUUUGCAAAUAUUUUUUCCCAUUCUGUGGGUUGCCUUUUUACUCUUUUGAUAGUAUCUUUUGAUGCACAAAAGUAAAAGAAUUUUUAUGAAGUCCAGUUUGUCUGUUUUUUCAUAUCCAAGAAAUCAUUGACAAAUCCAAUGUCAUUUCCAAAGUACUUUUGCAUAUACUAUUUCACUUGUGCCUCAAAGAUACAUAAAGGAUGUUUAUUUCAGUUCAGUGAUCAUUUAUAGAGUAGGUUUUGUGCUAGGUUUUGUACUAGAUCUUGGGGAACCAAAGAUAAGACAAGAACUCUGACCACAGGUAACAUCAACAGACAACAUUGGAAUAUACAGUCAGAAAUGUUUAUAUGAAAACAGUGAUUAGGGGAGAGACAGAUUGUUGGGAGGUGUUAAUGAUAGAUAGUGAUGGCACUCAUACUCUGUUAUAUAUUUUUUCUUUUUUUUUCCAACUUUAUUGAGAGAAAAAUAAUCGGUAUGUAACAUUGUGUAAGGUAAGGUGUACAAUGUGUUGAUUUGAUAUAUUACAUUUUUUGUUUCAAGGAAGAAUUGGUGUUUUUUUUACACCAUUUUGGAAUUAUAUUUCAUAAUUUAUAUAACUGAUUUGAUAUACUUUUGAAAAUUGUAUUUUCCACAGUUAUAAUUUUUUUCCUCCAAAAAAUCUGAGUGAUAUAUUAGAACAUUGAACCUAGGCCACCCUCCUUGAUAUUGUGUUUGUGGAAAGAGUGAUUAAUCUAUGUGCAUAAUUUGGCCCCUUGCAUCCAAAAUGCAAUUUUGUUUAUUAGAAAUAUUUUAGAUAAUUAAUGCUUUGUAGCUUUGUGUUGUUAUUUUUAUUUUAUUUUUUAAAAUUUAUUUAUUUUUGGCUGCAUAGGGUCUUCGUUGCUGCGCGUGGGCUUUCUCUAGUUGCAUCAAGCAGGGGCUACUCUUUGUUGUGGUGAGCGGGGGCUACUCGUUGUUGUGGUGUGCGGGCUUCUCAUUGCAGUGGCUUCUCUUGUUGUGGAGCACGGGCUCUAGGUGCGCGGGCUUCAGUAGCUGUGGCUCGCUGGCUCUAGAGUGCAGGCUCAGUAGUUGUGGCACAUGGGCUUAGUUGCUCUGCGGCAUGUGGGAUCUUCCUGGACCAGGGCUUGAACCCAUGUCCCCUGCCUUGGCAGGCGGAUUCCCAACCACUGCACCACCAGGGAAGCCCUUGUGUUGUUAUUUUUAGAUCUGAAAAAGAUGGAGAGAAAUAAAACAUGGCAAAUCUAUUGCUUGAAGUAGAUGAAAAGAGUCAAACUUCAGCAAAAACAAAAGCCCCUGAAAUGAAGAACAGAAAAUCUGUGAUUAUUAUCAUUAUUAGCUCCGCAGGGAUGUUGAAGUGAUCAGCAUAUCAAUAACAUAAUUAAGUAGAAAGGUAUUUUUAAAUUUUGAGAAAGAGAGAAACCAUUCCUCUAGGGUAUGUCUCUUUUUUUUAAAAAAUAAAUUUAUUUAUUUAUUUUUGGUUGUGUUGGGUCUUCGUUUCCAUGCGAGGGCUUUCUCUAGUUGCGGCGAGCAGGGGCCACUCUUCAUCGCGGUGCGCGGGCCUUUCACUGUCGCGGCCUCUCUUGUUGAGGAGCACAGGCUCAGUAGUUGUGGCUCACGGGCCUAGUUGCUCCACGGCAUGUGGGAUCUUCCCAGACCAGGGAUCGAACCUGUGUCCCCUGCAUUGGCAGGCAGAUUCUCAACCACUGCACCACCAGGGAAGCCCCUAGGGUAUGUCUCUUAUAUACUCAGAAAAAUUUGCGCUUUUUUUAGUUAGGCAUCAGUGAUGAAUAAAUAGUCCAUUCAUAUUAAAUACACUUGUGCUCCUUCAGGAGCAUAUAUACAUAUUAAUUACACCGAUACAGAUCUGAUACCAAGGAAAAAUAUACAAAUCUAUUGCAGAUUCUUUUCUUUUAAAUUAUUUUAACUAUCUAUUUUUUUAAUUUAUGGCUGUGUUGGAUCUUAGUUGCAGCACGCGGGCCUCUCUCUAGUUGUGGUAUGUGAGCUCCAGAGCGUGUGGGCUCUGUAGUUGUGGAGCGCAGGCCUAGUUGACCAGCAGCAUGUGGGAUCCUAGUUCCCGGACCAGGGAUCAAACCCAUGUCCCCUGCAUUUGAAGGCGGAUUCCCAACCACUGGAUCACCAGGGAAGUCCCUGCAGAUUCUUUUAUGUGUUGUGUAGAGUUCCUUACUUCAUAUGGAAGUGACCCUGUGAGCGCCAUAACAAAAGCUUUGUUAGGAGUUGGUUUUCUUUUGGAAUGGGAUCCCUUUAUUCUGAUAAUUUAUUCUGACGUAAGACCUCUACCCAAGGAAAUAAUGGAAUUAUUUUGAGCAGUGCUACCAUCCAAUCAGAGAAUGCUAGCCUUCAGGGAGAUCCUCUGGCUCUGCUAGUCUCCUUACCAAGGCCAAGUCAAGAUUUUCCACCAGGACUGGCCUUUGGAUGAUAGAUUUGCAAUAUCUGGUAGAGGGCAUGUGUUAACAUUGCCUAGUAUCUCUGGUUGCUUUUGUGGAAUUCAGAUGCAGAUUUGAUUAGUGACUAACCAUCAUCCCACAUAUGGGGACAUCGUGAGAUAAUUGAUAAUUUUGGGAAAAUCUCAUGUUGGUUCUGUAAUUUGACCACCUCUUUUGUGCAGGAUUUGGGGAUGAAGGUGGCAUUCUGUAACUGAAAGAACAGAAGUUUUGUCAUCAGAGUGAUUUGGGCUCAAAUCAACAGUGUUUGGGUUCAAAUCCUGACUCUGACUAGCAUUGUAACUCUGGGCAAGUGACUUAACUUCUCUGAAUCUCAAUUUCGUUUGUUAAAAAAAGCACUAGUGUUACUUUAUAGGGUAAUGGAAAUUAAAUAAAAUCUUACCACAGUGCUUAGCAUAUAGUAAGUACAGUUAUUCUACUAUCAGUGAUACAAACAGCUGGAGCACUAUUUGGCGCAUUUUAUUUGUACCUCAAAGGUAUGUAAACUCAGUAAAGAGUUAGAGUUCCCUUCUAACAUUAGUUUUCCAUUGUUGUUAAUACAAAGAAAUUUUCAUGAAAAUAUUACUGUACCAGUUAUUGAAAUUGUGUGUUGUUAAAAUUUGAUCAUCAAAGGAAAUGCAUUCUGUUUUUUAGCUUUGUUGUUAGAUCUCUUUAUCCAGUUCAUAUUACACUUAAAUAAACACAUCCUUAGGCCUACUGCUUUUAGCUUUUAGACUAGGAAUUGCUAUUGAGGAGGAAUAGAGACCAGGCCAUAUUUAUAAGGGCUCUGAAAGAAAUCUUGUGAAGUACAAACCAAGAUAAGACACUAUUAGGUAGAUGCAAAUGAAUCAGAAUGCAUGGGAUGAGUAGAAUUCAGAGUGCUGUUAAAAAGCCUUAUGCCUCAGAGCUAAUAGGCUAUUUUUAAACGAUGAUAACCCUAAGAGUCUUGAAAGAAAAUUUAUAAAGGAAAGUUUGGUUUGGGGUGGGGCUCAGGGAGCAUUUGCAGAUGGAAUGGAGAGAACUCUGAAGAUGAGCAGGGAUUCAGAGUCCUGAGGAAUUUUCAGAGUGAUAAGAUUAUGAGAGACAGUCCCUGUGAAUCUGCAUGGUGAAUUUACUUGAUGCCUAUAUUUUCAGGACCUGUUGACAUUUUAUCCAUCCUUAAAGGCCUCUCUUAAUUGCUAUUUUCUCCCAAAGUCUUCUCCAGUUUUUCUGCUAGCUAACAAGAAUCUUUUCUCUUUAUACUAAAUAAAAGGAACCAUGAGUUUGGGGGAACAUUUUUAUAUUUCUCUUAUGAGAAAUUAUGUUACAGUUGUGUCAUAUUAUUACAUGAAUGUGUCUGCUUCUUAACUCAUGGUAUAGAAGGAAGAACAUGAGUUCUUAGGUUGGAAAUACCUGGAUUUGAAUACUACCUCUGAUCUUUUAUAGCAAUGUGCUUUUUUGUUGUUGUUAUAUAAUGUCUAUUUCCAAAGGAUUGGGAGGAUUAAAUGGAAUAAUAUGUAGAGAGUACUUUUUACCUUCUGCUGAUCUAAUGGCAUAGAAUUUCUGUUCCUUGCUCUCUGAUAAGGAUCCUAAGGAGGUGGUUUGAAAAGGGAAAUUUAUAGAUACUAGAUGGAAUCGAAAACCCAGGUGUAUGAGGAGUCAUAUGUAAGAUGUCUGUCUUUUAAUCUCACUGAUUAAAUUGAUGAACAAAGAGAAACUGUGAGAUAUCAGGAAAAGCUGUUACUAGUCACUCAGAUUAUACAUAUUGAAUACAUUUACUUUAUACAUUACAUAACGGAAAUGCUACCACCUUGUACCAGAAACAAUUUCUACUAGGAAAAUUAAUUCUGACAGGACAAAAUUCUUGUUUAAAAUUUGGACAGAUAUCUGUAUUAUUGAAUUAGCCAAAUGAGAAGAGAAACAUUCUAAAAAUGUAGCUUGUGAUUUACCGACUUAAUGCAGAUGGCUUAUUUGUCUAGUAACCAUACAGCUCUGUCCAGAUUUUGCACAUAAUAUGUCAGAAUCAUCUACAUAAGAUGCAGCAUGGACUAAUGCAAAGGGAACCUGGGCUAGAAGUCAGAAGAACUGGAGGCAAGUCCUAAUGUUAUCUGAGACCAGGCUUCUGUUAUAUAGGUCUUGUUACUGUGGCAAAACAAUGGUAAACUAUAGGCUGGUCAGAGAAGCAUUGUGCAGGAUGAAACCUUGCAGCUCUGUGCAUCAGUGUGUGUGGUGGUAGAGGCGGGGCGGGGGAGGGGCGACGGCGGUUUGAGUUACUAAAGAUGGCCAAAACCGACUGAAGCAGCGACCUCUAAUCGAUAAAAGACAACAGACUCCCUGUGAUGCCUAAGAAUAAACAUGAGUUUGAAAGACCCUCUCUGAGAUACACGAAACCCUGACUAGAUUUCACAGGUCUGAUGAUAUGCUGGUGGUUCUGUGUUGCCAUAUCUUGAAGAAAUGUUCAUCAGAUCCUGAGAAGCAAAGUCAGGGAAGAGGUCCUCGAAUUUACUAGCUUGCACCAGACCAUCAGGUAAAGGUAGGACAUUUAUUUGGCUUAGAAUAUUCUUCAGAGAGGGACAGUGAAAUACUCGUGAGAUGAUCCAGGUAAUAAAAAGGUCAUGAAAAAUUGUCUCUGAAAAAAAGAAUCGAGGAGAAAUGGAGACUUCCAGAGAAAAGCUACCAAAUGCCUAUGUAUCAAAAUGCCUGCCAAGAACACAGCCAUUGAAUGGUGACAUCUGAGUGGCUUUGUUUGUUGGAGUUGUCUCAGGUGAGGUAAGUUUAUGUCUUCUCACUCUCCUUGAUCUUUGUAUAAUUCCCUGGUGCUUUACAGUGACUCCACAACUUUCUUAUUGUGGGUUCUGGGCAAGUUCCUUAACUUCUCUAAACUAGCCUCAGUUUCCUCAUCUGUAAAACACAGAUCUGUAGUGCCUGCUACUAAAGGCGGCUUUAAGGAUGAAGUGAAGUAAUAUAUGUGAAAGUUUCACUAUCAGAUACUUGAUAAGCUCCCUUCUGCCAAGGAGCUCCUAAGAUCGAUAGGCAGAGCAUGAUGUCACUUCACUGCUAGCCUCUAGCUACAGUAACACUAGCACUUUGAGUCCUGUUCUGACUUGUGAUCCUUAUUUUUAAUCAUUUUACUUCUGCCCAGUGGAGGAAAAACAAAUGGAGCAAGUUGUAGAUGCCACAAAGCCCUUUAUAAAUGGUUGUAAGGCUAGUAAUGCUCCAGUGCUUGCACAGGAUGGGUUUCCAAACAAUCCUCGCUAGUACAGAGUGUAAUUUCAGAGGCCCAAGGAAAAGUCUGAGUACUCCUCUCAGAGGCAGAAGUGUAAGCAAUCAGUUCCUUCUUUAAAAAAACCCACAAAAAACAACAAAAAAAGGCAUUAUUGAGAUAUAAUUCACAUAUCAUAAAACUGAUCUCAGUAGAAAAACUGGAUCUUGGGUAAAUAAUCCCUGUGUACUUGAGUAGCACCUCGAAAUCGAAUUAAAAAAAGAAGAAUUUCACUUGAGGAAACAAAGCUAAUAGAAUUGGAACAGACCUUUAGAAUAAUAUCAUCAGAGAGAUGCAAGUAUAUUGCAUCCACAGAGCAUGAACAGGCAUUACAAAAAUGAAGUAAAUUGGAGAUCUUAACAAUGAAAAACAUACUUUUUGAAAUAAAACAAUAGGUGGGUUGAAUGGCAGAGUGGAUACACAGAAGAGUGAAUACUGUUCUGGAAAACUGGAUGGAGAAAUUCUCUCAGAACGCAGUAGGAAAAGAAAGUAGGUGGAGAAUGAAAGCCAUUGGGGGGGGUAGAUCGAGUGUUCACAUCUAUCUAAUAGGAGUGACAGGAGAAAGUGGAGAAAAUGGAGGGCAGAUAUGGCAACGUUUUUUGUUAAUCUUCUAACUGCUGUUCUCCAACCCUUCUCCCCUGCUGGCCAGGCUGUCUCCCACCAUAGUUGCUGAACAUGCCCACCAAUUGUUUUUCCAGUCACCCUUGCAACUGGGGCAUUGAUGUGUGAUCCAGUCCUGACCAGUGGGACCAGACAGGAGUUCUGCUAGGCGACUUCUAUGAGUAUUUCUCCACAAUACCAAGAGACGCACAAGGAACGACUGCUUCCUGUGUUUGGAUGCAGUUGUGUGAGGAUACACUAUCUGGAGCUGUAGUGGUCAUCUUGCAACCACAUGGGGACAAAAGCAAUGCUGAGAAUGGCUGAACAGAAAGGUGGACCUUGAGUCCUUGUAUACUUUAGAUGUUAAUCCCCUAUAUGUUUUAGACUUUGCAAAUGCCUUCUUCUAUUCUGUCACCUAUUAACUUUGUUUAUGUGGUAUCUUUCAUGGAUAGAAAUAAUUCUGAUAUAAUCAAAUUCUUGAUUGUUCUUCUGUAUUGGUUUGUGCUUUUGACGUUUAAAGUUCUUCCCUGUCUCUAGGUCACAAAGUUCAUCCUACAUUUUAUUCAGUUGGAUUUAUGGUUUUACUUUCACAUUUAUUUCCUUAACUCAUCUGGAGUUCACCCUUAUAGAUGAUGUUAGGUAGCAAUGCAGUUUUAUUCUUCUCCAUGUAGUGGGCAAGUUUUUCCAACUCCACCUAAUAAAUGAUCUCAUCUUUCCCCA